rnacentral:rRNA from 1 species
AACCCUUGUCUUUAGUUGCCAUCAUUAAGUUGGGGCAACUCUAAAGAGACUGCCGAUGACAAAUCGGAGGAAGUGGGGAUGACGUCAAAUCAUCAUGCCCUUUAUGUCCUGGGCUACACACGUGCUACAAUGGCCUGUACAAAGGGCAGCAAAGGGCGACCCGGAGCAAAUCCCAAAAAACAGGUCUCAGUUCGGAUUGCAGGCUGCAACUCGCCUGCAUGAAGGCGGAAUCGCUAGUAAUCGCAGGUCAGCAUACUGCGGUGAAUACGUUCCCGGGCCUU